rnacentral:rRNA from 1 species
AGCAGCCGCGGUAAUUCCAGCUCCAAUAGCGUAUAUUAAAGUUGUUGCAGUUAAAAAGCUCGUAGUUGAAUUUCGGGAUUAGUACGUUGGUCGUGCCUUUGGUACGUACUGGUGUUACUGAUUCCUACCUUCUGACGAACCAUCAUGUCAUUAAUUUGGUGUGGCGGGAGUCAGGACUGUUACUUUGAAAAAAUUAGAGUGUUUAAAGCAGUCUUGCGCUUGAAUACAUUAACAUGGAAUAAUGAAAUAAGACGUUGAUCCUAUUUUGUUGGUUUCUAGGAUUGAUGUAAUGAUUAAUAGGGAUAGUUGGG